UGCUGGAGGUAUCAGAAGUGCGAAUGCUGACAUAAGUAACGAUAAAGCGGGUGAAAAGCCCGCUCGCCGGAAGACCAAGGGUUCCUGUCCAACGUUAAUCGGGGCAGGGUGAGUCGACCCCUAAGGCGAGGCCGAAAGGCGUAGUCGAUGGGAAACGGGUUAAUAUUCCCGUACUUGGUGUUACUGCGAAGGGGGGACGGAGAAGGCUAUGUUGGCCGGGCGACGGUUGUCCCGGUUUAAGCGUGUAGGUGUGUGUUCCAGGUAAAUCCGGUUCACUUUAACACUGAGGCGUGAUGACGAGGCACUACGGUGCUGAAGCAACAAAUGCCCUGCUUCCAGGAAAAGCCUCUAAGCAUCAGGUAACAUCAAAUCGUACCCCAAACCGACACAGGUGGUCAGGUAGAGAAUACCAAGGCGCUUGAGAGAACUCGGGUGAAGGAACUAGGCAAAAUGGUGCCGUAACUUCGGGAGAAGGCACGCUGACAUGUAGGUGAAGUGAUUUACUCAUGGAGCUGAAGUCAGUCGAAGAUACCAGCUGGCUGCAACUGUUUAUUAAAAACACAGCACUGUGCAAACACGAAAGUGGACGUAUACGGUGUGACGCCUGCCCGGUGCCGGAAGGUUAAUUGAUGGGGUCAGCGCAAGCGAAGCUCCUGAUCGAAGCCCCGGUAAACGGCGGCCGUAACUAUAACGGUCCUAAGGUAGCGAAAUUCCUUGUCGGGUAAGUUCCGACCUGCACGAAUGGCGUAAUGAUGGCCAGGCUGUCUCCACCCGAGACUCAGUGAAAUUGAACUCGCUGUGAAGAUGCAGUGUACCCGCGGCAAGACGGAAAGACCCCGUGAACCUUUACUAUAGCUUGACACUGAACAUUGAGCCUUGAUGUGUAGGAUAGGUGGGAGGCUUUGAAGCGUGGACGCCAGUCUGCGUGGAGCCGGCCUUGAAAUACCACCCUUUAAUGUUUGAUGUUCUAACGUGGACCCGUGAUCCGGGUUGCGGACAGUGUCUGGUGGGUAGUUUGACUGGGGCGGUCUCCUCCUAAAGAGUAACGGAGGAGCACGAAGGUUGGCUAAUCCUGGUCGGACAUCAGGAGGUUAGUGCAAUGGCAUAAGCCAGCUUGACUGCGAGCGUGACGGCGCGAGCAGGUGCGAAAGCAGGUCAUAGUGAUCCGGUGGUUCUGAAUGGAAGGGCCAUCGCUCAACGGAUAAAAGGUACUCCGGGGAUAACAGGCUGAUACCGCCCAAGAGUUCAUAUCGACGGCGGUGUUUGGCACCUCGAUGUCGGCUCAUCACAUCCUGGGGCUGAAGUAGGUCCCAAGGGUAUGGCUGUUCGCCAUUUAAAGUGGUACGCGAGCUGGGUUUAGAACGUCGUGAGACAGUUCGGUCCCUAUCUGCCGUGGGCGCUGGAGAACUGAGGGGGGCUGCUCCUAGUACGAGAGGACCGGAGUGGACGCAUCACUGGUGUUCGGGUUGUCAUGCCAAUGGCACUGCCCGGUAGCUAAAUGCGGAAGAGAUAAGUGCUGAAAGCAUCUAAGCACGAAACUUGCCCCGAGAUGAGUUCUCCCUGAGACUU
rnacentral:rRNA from 1 species